GACUAACGCUGGCGGUGUGCUUCAUACAUGCAAGUCGAGCGGGGCUAGUAGCAAUACUAGCUUAGCGGCGGACGGGUGCGUAACGCGUGAACAAUCUGCCUAUCACUGGGGAAUAACAGUUAGAAAUAGCUGCUAAUACCGCAUAUGACCACAGUUCGGCAUCGAACAGGGGUGAAAGAUUUAUCGGUGAUAGAUGAGUUCGCGUACCAUUAGCUAGUUGGAGGGGUAACGGCCCACCAAGGCGAUGAUGGUUAGCCGGCCUGAGAGGGUGAACGGCCACACUGGAACUGAGACACGGUCCAG
rnacentral:rRNA from 1 species